GCAGGAAGGAGAUGGAUUGGAAGAAUGUGGAAAGGAACACCUUUAAUAGCUGAUUACAGUGAGCACUCUGGGCUAAUAGGGAUAUUGGGAAUGUUAGGAAGUUUUAGAAAAAGUAGUUUUUGCAGCCUAAUAUUGGUAAGCAAUUUAUUUUCCCAAAGCUGAGCUGGAAACACAGCAAAAGAGCUUGUCUAGUUCUUGUGUCAGUCUUCCCAGAGUCAGAAAUUGUGGAAAACUGUAUAAAAAAGGCCAGAAGAAGGGAAAUCUGAGCUGUUUACACUCCUACUGAUUGUACCAGCUAGGACCAGUUACACUAUCUCCCUCUGACUUCAUAUUUUGCUCCACUGAAGAUAAACAUUUAAUCUAAAGCAAUUAGUCUGUGGAAGAUGCAGCAUUGCACAAGGGAAGGAGCCAGUUAAAAGCUUCUUAGUAGUGGAGACAACAUUAAAUUUUGUUGCCAACACCCUUAAGAGGUUGGGACCAGACUACUGCAGGAAAGCAAGGUAGAGGCAAUCAGGGGAUGAAACUUGGGUCGCUGUAAAGUACAGAAGCAGAAGCUGCCAUCCUGAAGACCUCACCUCCAUUGACACUAGCAGCAGCCAGCAUGGUUCUCAAGGGCUUUGGCAGGGCUCUUUCCCAGCUGAAACCAGGACUGGUUGCCUGUCUUGAACGCAAAGGACCAAAGAUGUGUAGCCCUUAGACAGGAACCAGGGCUAGACCAUAAGUAAUGUGACCCCAAUGAAAAGAAAGCUUUGGAGUGUUCUGGAAAACAGCUUUCUCUGAGGUAGAUGACCUGACCUGUAUAGUGGCAUGUAGUGUUGCUACAUCAGGCUAGGACAGUCUGAAGAAGGAGUCCUUAGACACAGCAAUAAAAACAACAGAAUAUCCAAGGAGUACUUGAACCUGGGCUGUCAGAAAGCAGGAGCUAACUAUUCUCCGGUGUCUUCAUGUAUGGCCAUAAAAUCAUACAUAAAUGUAUCAUCAACAUCUCCUAAUAUCCUACUAGCCCAUUGCAACAGAAGAAGAAAAAGUAGAAACACAGAUCCACAUCAGGAUGGAGCUCAGCUUUAAUAUAAAUAAAGUCAUACAAGAUCAGAAGCUGUCCUGAACAAGAGUAGGGGUUGAAAAGUAGGUAGCCCCAGGAAGACGAAAGAGAGAGUUUUCUCAGGGAAAGUAAAUGCCAGUGUCCCAGACAGAGCCAAUAGUUUCUCAUUCAAUCUAAACCUAUGCCCCUGUUUGCAGAGUGUCUGUGGAAGGUUCUUACAGGUUUAAUGGGAUAUGCAGUGAACAGGAACAUCAUCAGUACAGAAAAUGCCAAAGUCAUCCGAUGACAUACAAGGUUAAAAUGUAAGAAGUAUUCUGAAAAUGUAUUUUUUUGUGAAAAAUUCAUCUUACUAGCAGUGGACACAGCUGUCAGGCCUAUACAAACUUUCUGACUCCUGUUCUUAAACUUCAGAAAAGUGUUAUUUGCUUUUUACCCAGCUUCACUUUACCUCCUAAUUGCAACAUCACUGAAUUUAACUGAGGUACGUCUCAAAUUUUCAACUCUGAUGUUCUUCUCCAGCUGAAAACAGAUGGCUAUACUACAGAAAAAAUAAUGGCUUGAAUAAAUAAAAUAAAAUAUUGAAAAAAAAUAAAUAGCUUGAAGGAGAGAGAGUAAA